rnacentral:rRNA from 1 species
CGGCGAGUGAAGCGGGAUGAGCUCAAAUUUAAAAUCUGGCUGCCUCAGGUGGUCCGAGUUGUAGUCUCGAGAAGUGUUUUCCGCGUUGGCCUGUGUACAAGUCCUUUGGAAUAAGGCGUCAUAGAGGGUGAGAAUCCCGUCCUUGACACAGAUCCCCAAUGCUUUGUGAUGCGCUCUCAAAGAGUCGAGUUGUUUGGGAAUGCAGCUCAAAAUGGGUGGUAAAUUCCAUCUAAAGCUAAAUAUUGGCGAGAGACCGAUAGCGAACAAGUACCGUGAGGGAAAGAUGAAAAGCACUUUGGAAAGAGAGUUAAACAGUACGUGAAAUUGUUGAAAGGGAAACGAUUGAAGUCAGUCAUGCUCGUAGGGAUUCAGCCGGUUCUGCCGGUGUAUUUCCCUACUUGCAGGCCAGCAUCAGUUUUGACCCGGUGGAAAAGGUUGGAGGGAAUGUGGCAUCCUCGGAUGUGUUAUANCCCUCUUUCGCAUACAUCGG